GACGAACGCUGGCGGCGUGCUUAACGCAUGCAAGUCGAACGGAAAGGCCCCUUUGGGGGUACUCGAGUGGCGAACGGGUGAGUAACACGUGAGUAACCUGCCCUUGACUUCGGGAUAACUUCAGGAAACUGGGGCUAAUACCGGAUAGGAAUCCUUGCUGCAUGGUGGGGGUUGGAAAGCUUCGGCGGUUUUGGAUGGACUCGCGGCUUAUCAGCUUGUUGGUGGGGUAGUGGCUUACCAAGGCUUUGACGGGUAGCCGGCCUGAGAGGGCGACCGGCCACAUUGGGACUGAGAUACGGCCCAGACUCCUACGGGAGGCAGCAGUGGGGAAUAUUGCACAAUGGGCGGAAGCCUGAUGCAGCAACGCCGCGUGCGGGAUGACGGCCUUCGGGUUGUAAACCGCGUUCAGCAGGGGCGAAGCUUGUGGUGACGGUACCUGCAGAAGAAGCACCGGCUAACUACGUG
rnacentral:rRNA from 1 species